rnacentral:rRNA from 1 species
CCCUUAGAUGUCCUGGGCCGCACGCGCGCUACACUGAGUGUCUGAGAUACGAGUCUGCCUGGUCCGGCAAGGUCUAGGUAAUCGCUAAAAGACACAUCAUGCUUGGGAUGGAUUAUUGCAAAUAUUAAUCUUGAACGAGGAAUUCCUAGUAAGCGCAAGUCAACAGCUUGCGUUGAUUACGUCCCUGCCCUUUGUACACACCGCCCGUCGCUACUACUGAUUGGAUGUUUAAGCGAGGUUCUCGAACUGCUAGCGACUUAGCUUCGGUGAGGUCGCAGUGUGGGAAGUGAACCUAGCUUUGGUGUCUAGAGGAAGUAAAAGUCGUAACA